AACGAACGCUGGCGGCAUGCCUAACACAUGCAAGUCGAACGAGACCUUCGGGUCUAGUGGCGCACGGGUGCGUAACGCGUGGGAACCUGCCUUUAGGUUCGGAAUAACUCAGAGAAAUUUGAGCUAAUACCGGAUGAUGUCUUCGGACCAAAGAUUUAUCGCCUUUGGAUGGGCCUGCGUUGGAUUAGCUAGUUGGUGGGGUAAAGGCCUACCAAGGCGACGAUCCAUAGCUGGUCUGAGAGGAUGAUCAGCCACACUGGGACUGAGACACGGCCCAGACUCCUACGGGAGGCAGCAGUGGGGAAUAUUGGACAAUGGGCGAAAGCCUGAUCCAGCAAUGCCGCGUGAGUGAUGAAGGCCUUAGGGUUGUAAAGCUCUUUUACCCGAGAUGAUAAUGACAGUAUCGGGAGGAUAAGCUCCGGCUAACUCCGUG
rnacentral:rRNA from 1 species